CAGUAAUCAACCAAAUAUUAACGUUCCCAUUUCCAACAAAACAGUCAUUUGGAGUAAAGGGAAUAAGUUUAUGACUCAAUCCCUUUUCCACAAUCGGAUGUCGUCCCUGUAUUACAGUAUGAGCAUGUGAAUCAUCAACCACUGGACGGACAAAAUCCUGUUCCUGUGCUAAAGUCGCUAAAGAAGUAGAAAUAUCUAAUUCAUCCAGGGCAUUAGCUAAUGAACGCAAUGUUUUGUGAUGGCUAACUAUCUCAUCAGUGAUACUUUUCAAGACUCUCUGCUCCUCUUGAUGUAUAUGCAAUUUAGUAUUCUCAAGAUCCAUUCCAAGCGAAGUCCAGCCCGGUAGUUGAAAGCUUGCCGUACUCUUUGUUGAUUGAAAGAGAACUGCUUGAGUAAAUUUUUUGAUAAAUCGCUCAAUGGUUUCGUUGCCUGACAAUUUUAAAUGUACAU